UUUCAUUUCAGUUCUGCCAUAUGUCUCUUAGAGUAAAUUGAUGGAUGAGGUCAUUGAAAAAGUAAUCCCUUCCUACGGCAUUUCCUUUUUCUACAGUUGCUACUGCCGUCUUUGUGCUUUAGCAAUUAUCUAACUAGGGGCUCUUACGGGGACCUAGUAAUCUCAACAAAGAUACCAGAUUUUGAAUCAUCUGCAUCGUGUGAUGAUUUAUAGUCUCUGCCAAUCUACAGCUGGGUCAGGAUUCCAUACACCCAUACUAGUAUCCAUUUUUACCCCUGGACAGUGACAGUCUGAAUUAUGAAGACAGCAAUGCUGUGUGGUAGAGAAAUUAAUGCUGCCCUCCGUUCCCCUCCUCUCCCGGAAACUUAAGAGUAGGAAAAUCUGCCAUAAGAACUGACAACUUAAUCUUAAAAUUUAAAGGUGUUGCAAGUUUUGUAGAAAGCCAGGAAAAGAGUAAUCGAAGAAAACCUGAGUUGUGUUUAUUCAGUAGAGGCCAACUGAUUUAUUUGCAUCCAAAGAGUAUUUUAGGUCAGAGGAAACAUGGAGUAAAUUUAACUGAAUAUCUCAUUUUAUGGAUGAAGAAGAUGCCAUAAACACAUUUAAUUAUUGACAAAAGUGACCUUGGAACUCCAGAUCUUUUGCCUGCCACAUUGGUGAUAUUUCUUCUUGCCUUCUGUACUCACACUUGUGUUUGAAGAGCUUAUUAAGCAGCUGAUGGUAAAUCUUGAUGAGAAGAUACAGAUGUGACCUUGAAGACACAUUGAGAAACACAUUACUUCAAGGAAAAAUGCCAAGGCUCCUUUCUUAUUAACGUCAGAUGACUAUGAUAAUGGAAUACUACUAUUGUGUUCCAGCAAGCUCUCAUUUCACAUGCUCUAAGGAUAGAAGGAGGAGGAGAAAAAGAACCAACCAUCUAUGGCAACUGUAACUCAAUAUGCUGUUUGUUACCUUUAUUCUCUUUGGUUUCUU
rnacentral:lncRNA from 1 species